UGCAAGUCGUACGCACUGGCCCAACUGAUUGAUGGUGCUUGCACCUGAUUGACGAUGGAUCACCAGUGAGUGGCGGACGGGUGAGUAACACGUAGGUAACCUGCCCCGGAGCGGGGGAUAACAUUUGGAAACAGAUGCUAAUACCGCAUAACAACAAAAGCCACAUGGCUUUUGUUUGAAAGAUGGCUUUGGCUAUCACUCUGGGAUGGACCUGCGGUGCAUUAGCUAGUUGGUAAGGUAACGGCUUACCAAGGCGAUGAUGCAUAGCCGAGUUGAGAGACUGAUCGGCCACAAUGGAACUGAGACACGGUCCAUACUCCUACGGGAGGCAGCAGUAGGGAAUCUUCCACAAUGGGCGCAAGCCUGAUGGAGCAACACCGCGUGAGUGAAGAAGGGUUUCGGCUCGUAAAGCUCUGUUGUUGGAGAAGAACGUGCGUGAGAGUAACUGUUCACGCAGUGACGGUAUCCAACCAGAAAGUCACGGCUAACUACGUGCCAGCAGCCGCGGUAAUACGUAGGUGGCAAGCGUUAUCCGGAUUUAUUGGGCGUAAAGCGAGCGCAGGCGGUUGCUUAGGUCUGAUGUGAAAGCCUUCGGCUUAACCGAAGAAGUGCAUCGGAAACCGGGCGACUUGAGUGCAGAAGAGGACAGUGGAACUCCAUGUGUAGCGGUGGAAUGCGUAGAUAUAUGGAAGAACACCAGUGGCGAAGGCGGCUGUCUGGUCUGCAACUGACGCUGAGGCUCGAAAGCAUGGGUAGCGAACAGGAUUAGAUACCCUGGUAGUCCAUGCCGUAAACGAUGAGUGCUAGGUGUUGGAGGGUUUCCGCCCUUCAGUGCCGGAGCUAACGCAUUAAGCACUCCGCCUGGGGAGUACGACCGCAAGGUUGAAACUCAAAGGAAUUGACGGGGGCCCGCACAAGCGGUGGAGCAUGUGGUUUAAUUCGAAGCUACGCGAAGAACCUUACCAGGUCUUGACAUCUUGCGCUAACCUUAGAGAUAAGGCGUUCCCUUCGGGGACGCAAUGACAGGUGGUGCAUGGUCGUCGUCAGCUCGUGUCGUGAGAUGUUGGGUUAAGUCCCGCAACGAGCGCAACCCUUGUUACUAGUUGCCAGCAUUAAGUUGGGCACUCUAGUGAGACUGCCGGUGACAAACCGGAGGAAGGUGGGGACGACGUCAGAUCAUCAUGCCCCUUAUGACCUGGGCUACACACGUGCUACAAUGGACGGUACAACGAGUCGCAAGCUCGCGAGAGUAAGCUAAUCUCUUAAAGCCGUUCUCAGUUCGGACUGUAGGCUGCAACUCGCCUACACGAAGUCGGAAUCGCUAGUAAUCGCGGAUCAGCAUGCCGCGGUGAAUACGUUCCCGGGCCUUGUACACACCGCCCGUCACACCAUGGGAGUUUGUAACGCCCAAAGUCGGUGGCCUAACCUUUAUGGAGG
rnacentral:rRNA from 2 species